rnacentral:lncRNA from 1 species
UUUUAGCAAAUAGUGAGUUCGUUAAACUUUCUGUGAUACAAACUUGAAGUUCUUUUUUUAUUUUUAUUCAAGGGUAAAUAAAUAAAAAAAGAAUUAAUUUAAUUUGAAUAAAGGAUACCACUCUUGACAAAGAAAAGGUUGGUCCAUCUUUUUUUUAUUUACGCAUCCUAUUUUUCCUAUUUUUUUUUUUUUUGAAGGGGGAGGGGGUUGCUAACUCAAUGGUAGAGUACUCGACUUUUAAGUGCGACUCCAUUUUUUACACAUUUUUAUGAAGCAAUUGUUUCGUCCAUAACCUCGGUAGGGUUUGUAAGACCACGAUUGAUCCAGAAAGGAAUGAAUGGAAAAAGCCGCAUGUCGUAUCAA